GAUGAACGCUGGCGGCGUGCUUAACACAUGCAAGUCGAACGAUGAAGCCCAGCUUGCUGGGUGGAUUAGUGGCGAACGGGUGAGUAACACGUGAGUAACCUGCCCUUGACUCUGGGAUAAGCCUGGGAAACUGGGGCUAAUACCGGAUACGACCAUUGCCCGCAUGGGUUGGUGGUGGAAAGCUUUUGUGGUUUUGGAUGGACUCGCGGCCUAUCAGCUUGUUGGUGAGGUAAUGGCUCACCAAGGCGACGACGGGUAGCCGGCCUGAGAGGGUGACCGGCCACACUGGGACUGAGACACGGCCCAGACUCCUACGGGAGGCAGCAGUGGGGAAUAUUGCACAAUGGGCGAAAGCCUGAUGCAGCGACGCCGCGUGAGGGAUGACGGCCUUCGGGUUGUAAACCUCUUUCAGUAGGGAAGAAGCGAGAGUGACGGUACCUGCAGAAGAAGCGCCGGCUAACUACGUG
rnacentral:rRNA from 1 species